GCCGGGAGUGGUGGUGCGCUCCUGUAAUCCAACUACUUGGAGGCUAGGUACAGAGGAUGUUUUAAGGACGAGGGUUUUGGAAUUGAAUUUCCCCUGUUGGGGAUAAAUCUUUAACUUGGAUGCCUUGGGAAGCCCGAGGUAGCCAGGUUGAGAGUUCAAUUUCAAAUUGUCCUAAACAAGAACAGACCUGUACCACA
rfam:Pediculus humanus corporis strain TSDA 1103172095729, whole genome shotgun sequence.